AAUAUGCCAUGUGAGGAAGAUCGUGUGAAAAAAACUUAAACAAAAUGAAAGAAAAUCAUUGGACUAAUGCUUUGGAUUGAGAGCUGAGACCCAGUUAGUUAUUUGUUUAUAUUCAUUACUUAUUAAAAACAUCUCAGCUUUUUAGUGCUAGUUGUGCGAGCUCGACUUGCACAACCGUUGACGUUACCAUACACAAUCAGCCCACUUUGUAACUGUUUAUGAACCAACAUCAAGCGAUGCAAAACAAAAAUGCAAGAGGACAAAAAAAGAAAGAACCAGAACAACAAAGAAAACCACGCACCGCAUUAAGGGGUGAGUGCGAGAGGGAGACUGCAGUUCUUGUGCUCCCCCUUUGCUCCACUUGUAAAUGUGUCAAGUGAGCUUGACUCUCUUCCACUUAUGUACAUACAAGUACACACAUAAUUCACAUACGUGCAGGUGUGCUGUAAAUGUGAGAGCGUGAGAGAGUUAAUCAGCGGAAUUAAAAUCGCGUGCAGCCGUAAACAAGUCAAGUGUUAGAGAGGAAAGGGGGAUCGUCACAUUCAAUUUAACGGUUAAUCAGUAGACAGCACACAAACAACAACGCGGCAUGGAAACAGCACUGGAAAAACAAAUCAAUCGAGAGGUGCAAACAAUUGGCAACCCAAAUAUAAAUAGUCAUUUCCCGAUUAAACUGCCUGGUGAUGAAAAUUAAUACAGCAAUUUCGCUCAGCCUUCAGUCUGGAAUAAUAGUCAUUAAGCCGAGCCUAUCAACUGUUGGCUGCAAUACAAAAUAACAAUCCCACAAAGUGUCGUGUCAUUAUGCAAGCCCCCGGCAUUUUGGACUGGAAGUGGGCGGAAAUAGUUGGGGGUGUGGCCAGAGAGCUCCAUUACAGAACAGCUGUCAACUGUUCGCCGAAUUCCGCAGUGCUGUAUAUGGAAGUACAGUAGAAUGCUCAUAAGUCGAACAGUUUUUAAGCUUUAAAUAAACGUUUUUACUAUUAUUUUA